rnacentral:tRNA from 1 species
GGCUUCGGUGUUUAGUGGUCAAGACGCUCGCUUGGUAAACAGGAAAGCGUGGGUUCAAUUCCCGCCGAGGUAU